UACGGAGGGUGCGAGCGUUGUCCGGAAUCACUGGGCGUAAAGGGCGCGUAGGCGGCGCGGGAAGUCAUCGGUGAAAGUUCAGGGCUCAACUCUGAAUCGGCCGGUGAUACUCUCGUGCUUGAGCACUGUAGAGGCAGGUGGAAUUCCGGGUGUAGCGGUGGAAUGCGUAGAGAUCCGGAAGAACACCGGUGGCGAAGGCGGCCUGCUGGGCAGUAGCUGACGCUGAUGCGCGACAGCGUGGGGAGCAACAGG
rnacentral:rRNA from 1 species